rnacentral:lncRNA from 1 species
GCAUUUUCAGGGAUGGAAUCUUCGAGUCUUUUUUCAUUUUACAUAUGAUAUGAUUUCUCGUAGACUGCCCCUUCUUUUCUACUGGGUUUCGAAUAGAAAAAUCCCUUUUUUUGUCGAUUGAUACCUAAUCUAUGUAAAAUCCCUGAACUUCAUUUGGUUAUUCCUUUCUAUUCUUUUUCAAAUUCCCUAAAUCAUGAAUUGGGAAUUGACUUCUGACUCGUAAAUCCUAUAAAUAAAUUAUUUAAAGAACUGUUCCAGAAACAAAUGAUCGCUUUUAUCACUCUCGUUCCCAGCGGAUCCCCAGAUAUACUACUCUCCUUUUAUCAAAUAAUCUUAUCUUAUUCUUGAAUGUUGUUCGUGAAAUAAAAAAAAAGGGGUUUUUUAUAUUGUGUAUGUCUAGGAAACAACUAGAGGAUCAUAUUUUUUCUUUCUAUUUGACAUUUAUUUCUUUUAUUGUCUUCUUUGUUCUUUUUUUGUUUCGUUCAUAUUAAAAAAAUCCCAAAGUAUACUUUUUUGCAGAUCCAGGUAAGAAAUUCGAAUAUUUUUUUCUAUUUAUUUUUUUUAUCUAUCUGUCAAAUUUUUAAAUAUUGUAUCGAAUUUUAUUUCUAUCGAAUUUGAAUAUCAGAAUAGUAGAUAUAGUUAUGAUUCAAUGGGUUAGGUCCACUUACUUUUUUUAGAAUCUUUCGUA